CAAGGAAUAUUGGUCAAUGGGCGCAAGCCUGAACCAGCCAUGCCGCGUGCAGGAAGACGGCCCUAUGGGUUGUAAACUGCUUUUGUCAGGGAAUAAACCCCCGCUCGUGAGCGGGGCUGAAGGUACCUGAGGAAUAAGCAUCGGCUAACUCCGUGCCAGCAGCCGCGGUAAUACGGAGGAUGCAAGCGUUAUCCGGAUUCAUUGGGUUUAAAGGGUGCGCAGGCGGAUUGGUAAGUCAGGGGUGAAAUCCCACAGCUCAACUGUGGAACUGCCUUUGAUACUGUCAGUCUAGAGUAUAGUUGAAGUGGGCGGAAUGUGUCAUGUAGCGGUGAAAUGCUUAGAUAUGACACAGAACACCGAUCGCGAAGGCAGCUCGCUAAGCUAUAACUGACGCUCACGCACGAAAGCGUGGGGAUCAAACAG
rnacentral:rRNA from 1 species